rnacentral:rRNA from 1 species
UGCUGACGAGUGGCGGACGGGUGAGUAAUGUCUGGGAAACUGCCUGAUGGAGGGGGAUAACUACUGGAAACGGUGGCUAAUACCGCAUAACGUCGCAAGACCAAAGAGGGGGACCUUCGGGCCUCUUGCCAUCAGAUGUGCCCAGAUGGGAUUAGCUUGUUGGUGAGGUAACGGCUCACCAAGGCGACGAUCCCUAGCUGGUCUGAGAGGAUGACCAGCCACACUGGAACUGAGACACGGUCCAGACUCCUACGGGAGGCAGCAGUGGGGAAUAUUGCACAAUGGGCGCAAGCCUGAUGCAGCCAUGCCGCGUGUAUGAAGAAGGCCUUCGGGUUGUAAAGUACUU